AGAGUUUGAUCCUGGCUCAGAUUGAACGCUGGCGGCAUGCCUUACACAUGCAAGUCGAACGGUAACAGGUCUUCGGAUGCUGACGAGUGGCGAACGGGUGAGUAAUACAUCGGAACGUGCCCGAGAGUGGGGGAUAACGAAGCGAAAGCUUUGCUAAUACCGCAUACGAUCUCAGGAUGAAAGCAGGGGACCGCAAGGCCUUGCGCUCACGGAGCGGCCGAUGGCAGAUUAGGUAGUUGGUGGGAUAAAAGCUUACCAAGCCGACGAUCUGUAGCUGGUCUGAGAGGACGACCAGCCACACUGGGACUGAGACACGGCCCAGACUCCUACGGGAGGCAGCAGUGGGGAAUUUUGGACAAUGGGCGCAAGCCUGAUCCAGCCAUGCCGCGUGCAGGAUGAAGGCCUUCGGGUUGUAAACUGCUUUUGUACGGAACGAAAAGACUUUGGUUAAUACCUGGGGUCCAUGACGGUACCGUAAGAAUAAGCACCGGCUAACUACGUGCCAGCAGCCGCGGUAAUACGUAGGGUGCGAGCGUUAAUCGGAAUUACUGGGCGUAAAGCGUGCGCAGGCGGUUAUAUAAGACAGAUGUGAAAUCCCCGGGCUCAACCUGGGAACUGCAUUUGUGACUGUAUAGCUAGAGUACGGCAGAGGGGGAUGGAAUUCCGCGUGUAGCAGUGAAAUGCGUAGAUAUGCGGAGGAACACCGAUGGCGAAGGCAAUCCCCUGGGCCUGUACUGACGCUCAUGCACGAAAGCGUGGGGAGUAAACAGGAUUAGAUACCCUGGUAGUCCACGCCCUAA
rnacentral:rRNA from 1 species